GGGCGUGUAGCUCAAAUGGUAGAGCGCUCGAUUCGCAAUGACCACAACGUGACGUCACUGGCCUUCGAGAGGUAAAGGGAUCGAUACCCUUCUCGUCCA
rfam:Klebsormidium nitens DNA, contig: KFL_276.